rnacentral:lncRNA from 1 species
AAUUGUGUCCAGAAUUAAAGUGCACAAAAAUAGUCUUUACAAUUGUAGCAUGAACUUUUUUUUUAAUAACUUAGAAAUCAAAUAUACAUUUAAAUCAGCACUUGAUGAGUCAGCUUUUGUUGUACACAGAGUUGUACCUGCUUAUCUUUGCCCUUAUCCUUGUUGUUGAGCAAGGAUUAGUUUUAAUUUUUUUUUAAAAAUGUUUACAGUGUUGGCACUUAGAGUUUAAAGAAAUAAAUAAAAACAAGUUGUAGCUUUGCCUUGGGCUAAGAGGUGCUGGAGAAAAAAAAUUUAAACCUAGGUUGAAUUUCUUCUGAACUUUGAAGUGUUUUCUCCUGGCCCACAGAAAUGUAGCAGGAAAACUAAGAAUAAUAGAUCUCCCCUUUGACUAUCAUGAUGUACAAUAUGAGUUAGGUUCGCUGCCUUCAGAAUACUGCAAAUAGCAGUUUGUGAAAAUGUAAUAAAUAUUGGUACUGUUUCAUAGCACAAACUCAUUUUUGAAGUGUUGACCAAUGCAUCAGUUAAGAAAUAAUGCCACCUCAGGAAUUAACUGGCGUUCGGAACGUUUGACUUCUUCUCUAUCCAUUGUCCACCAUUCCCAGCCACCAUGAUACAUGAAAUUACCUAAGAGACUUUUGAGCAUUGUUUAUAACAGUAGAUCAUUGAUUUAUGCUUAUGUGGUUGUACAAUUUAUUCCCAUGUUUGUGUUUAAUAUUUUACCCAGUUCCUUGUAUUUAUUCCAUAUCACUCUGCCUGUAAUGUGCAGCUUCGUAAUUGGGCAUUUACCUAUUUUUUCCUUCAUAAAUAGUGAUAUAAACUAUGUAAAACCACUAGUACUGGUACAUUUUAAUAUUUGUUAUUUUGUACUGAAUUAACCUUGGAAGGUUGACUGUGCAAUGUUAUUUAAUGUUGUAAUUAAUUACUGCAGUAUCAGAAUAUGAGCCCCCAUCUGCACAUGCUAGUAAAAUAGAAAUUUCAUUCAAAAUGAUAAAUUUAAAGAAUAAUAAAGCUGUGAUCAAUAAUUCUGUAACCCUAUCCUGCAUUAGAAAGCUGUGAGUGUAGGUGAUUCCAUGAUGGUGUCCUAAGGUGGAUUCUCCAUGCUGUCCUGUACUGUGAUGUAGCUUUCUUCUGUAAAAGUUCUGUUCUAAAAUGGACAUGUAUUUUUUGCCUUAGCAAAGGGUGGUGUUUGGGAAAAGAACUGUAGUCCCUUUUAACCCAGUGUUCAUUCAACAAAAUCGAUGCAAGUCAUCUUUAUUCACUUUCACUGGUGCACUCUGAAAAUUUACUUGAACAGUUCUCAUAAUAAAGCACUUGUCUUUUG